AGGGCACCACCAGGAGUGGAGCCUGCGGCUUAAUUUGACUCAACACGGGAAAACUUACCCGGCCCGGACACUGGAAGGAUUGACAGAUUGGGAGCUCUUUCUUGAUUCAGUGGGUGGUGGUGCAUGGCCGUUCUUAGUUGGUGGAGCGAUUUGUCUGGUUAAUUCCGAUAACGAACGAGACUCUAGCCUACUAAAUAGACCAGAGGCUUCUUAAAACACGUCUCUGGCUGCUUCUUAGAGGGACAGGCGGCGAUUCAGCCGCACGAAACAGAGCAAUAACAGGUCUGUGAUGCCCUUAGAUGUCCGGGGCCGCACGCGCGCUACACUGAAGUGAUCAGCGUGCUUUUUGUACCCUGCUCUGCCAAGAGUGGGUAACCCAAUGAACCUUCUUCGUGAUUGGGAUAGGGGAUUGUAAUUAUUCCCCUUGAACGAGGAAUUCCCAGUAAGCGCGAGUCAUAAGCUCGCGUUGAUUACGUCCCUGCCCUUUGUACACACCGCCCGUCGCUACUACCGAUUGAA
rnacentral:rRNA from 1 species